GGGCCCGUGGCCAAGUUGGAUAUGGCGUCGGCCUUCUAAGCCGAAGAUCCCGGGUUCGAAUCCCGGCGGGUCCG
rnacentral:tRNA from 3 species